UACGUAGGUGGCAAGCGUUUGUCCGGAAUUAUUGGGCGUAAAGCGCGCGCAGGCGGCCUCUUAAGUCUGAUGUGAAAGCCCCCGGCUCAACCGGGGAGGGCCAUUGGAAACUGGGGGGCUUGAGUAUAGGAGAGAAGAGUGGAAUUCCACGUGUAGCGGUGAAAUGCGUAGAGAUGUGGAGGAAGCACCAGUGGCGAAGGCGACUCUUGGCGAUAACUGACGCUGAGGCGCGAAAGCGUGGGGAGCAAACAGG
rnacentral:rRNA from 1 species